AAUGCUUUUAGCAGUGAUGCCCAGAUGAAUACAUUGAGGCUUGUUUGAGAAACCUCUAUCACCUGGAGAUACGCUGCACGAUUCUCAAGAAAUUGUUACUGCAGGCUAAAGAGUCACGCGUGUUGCUGUUGAAACGUACUACGAAAGUUGAGAGCAAUCUGAAACGAACGCACAAAAUGAGAAGUCUAGAGACUUAGUGGAUUGUUGGAGGAUGGGUCAAUACAAAGAAAGGCUAUACAUACAUAGACGUAUACUUAGAUAAUUGGCAGUACUUAUUUCACGUAAUAGGAGGCAACUGUGCAAUAUGAAGUUAAAUUUAUUUUUUAGUGAACUGUAUAAUGAAAAUCUGUUGAAAAACGUUGUACUUAAUCUAUAUUUGUGAAAUAAUUCGAAUACUUUGUAUAUUAAUAACAUUAACGCUUUUAUACUAAACUUGUAUGUUAGAAAUUGAAUAUUAGUUCGUUAGAUCAUUAUUUCUAUAUAAAGUAGCCACAAUUACGUGUUAUUAGGAAGAUAAAUUUUGAAUAAUAAAUUUUGGUUUAAUUUUCAUUAAACUGACAUCAGUUUGUUCUAAAUUCGAGGAUUAUUUUAAUUAUUUUAAUUUUCUAUUUUUAUAUUAAAUGACCAAUCGAGAUGAACAGUCUAUAACCAAUAGGUUGACCUGAAAAAUUUUAGGAAUAUCAUAAUUAUAAAAUUUUAUGAGUCCGCUUAUUAUGUAGUAGGUGAUUCGUAAAUUUGAUCGUUCUGGAGUUUUUUCAUUUACUGAUCUGUCAAAAAAUAUGAAUAUUAAAUCAAGAGAUACACGCAUCUAUUCUAAUUCUUAGUUAAUGAUUUCGUCAUUGACUUACAACACAGAACGGAUCUGAUGUUGAAUUUAUGUUUCAAGUUCUAAAAUAAUGAUUUGAAAAAAAAAACAGUCGUUUUUAUAUUUUCUGUGAUUUAUUACGAUGGAUAUAGAAAUUAUAUUCAACUCAAUCGUCGAAACCGACAAAAUCAGUGACUAUGAAAAAUCUUGCAUUGUGUAACUAAAGUAGUCGCAACAUUGUACUAUAGUAAUACUAUAGUAAUACCAUAUAUGUAAUUAUUGCACUAACGAUAGACUAUGACUUGUACAAAAAGUUAUAAUGUUUGUUCUUCAAAUUACAUGCAUGCAAUUAUGAACAUAUUACAAAAAAGCAUAUUUGUACAUAUUUGUAGAAAUUUAAAGAGAGUAGCACAUCUUUCACAUUCUAAUGCGAUUACUAACUGUUUAAUUGUGCAGAAAUAAAAUUAGCUUUUUGUACUGAUCGCAAAUAAGAAAUAAUAUAUAACAUAUGAAGAAAAAUGUUAUAUGUAAAAUAGUUUGUAAAUGAAUUCAGCAUAACGGAAGUUCAUUUCCUAUGUUCAUCGCAUUGAUACAGUGGGAUGUGCAACAAUCGGUAAUGACUAAUACUACUUGAUGAAAUAAAGAAUCGUAUCUAAA